AUUGAACGCUGGCGGCAUGCCUUACACAUGCAAGUCGAACGGCAGCACGGGAGCUUGCUCCUGGAGGCGAGUGGCGAACGGGUGAGUAAUACAUCGGAACGUACCCAGGAGUGGGGGAUAACGUAGCGAAAGUUACGCUAAUACCGCAUAUUCUGUGAGCAGGAAAGCGGGGGAUCGCAAGACCUCGGGCCUUUGGAGCGGCCGAUGUCGGAUUAGCUAGUUGGUGAGGUAAAAGCUCACCAAGGCGACGAUCCGUAGCAGGUCUGAGAGGAUGAUCUGCCACACUGGGACUGAGACACGGCCCAGACUCCUACGGGAGGCAGCAGUGGGGAAUUUUGGACAUGGGGGCAACCCUGAUCCAGCCAUGCCGCGUGAGUGAAGAAGGCCUUCGGGUUGUAAAGCUCUUUCGGCGGGGAAGAAAUGGCAACGGCUAAUAUUCGUUGUUGAUGACGGUACCCGCAUAAGAAGCACCGGCUAACUACGUGCCAGCCGCCGCGGUAA
rnacentral:rRNA from 1 species